UACGUAGGGGGCAAGCGUUGUCCGGAUUUAUUGGGCGUAAAGAGCGUGUAGGCGGCUGGGUAGGUCUGCUGUGAAAACUCGAGGCUCAACCUCGAGCUGUCGGCGGAAACCAUCUGGCUAGAGUCCGGAAGAGGAGAAUGGAAUUCCCGGUGUAGCGGUGAAAUGCGCAGAUAUCGGGAAGAACACCCGUGGCGAAGGCGGUUCUCUGGGACGGUACUGACGCUGAGGCGCGAAGACGUGGGGAGCGAACAGG
rnacentral:rRNA from 1 species